rnacentral:rRNA from 1 species
AAUCAACGCUGGCGGCGUGCCUAACACAUGCAAGUCGAACGCGAAAGCCCCGCAAGGGGUAAGUAGAGUGGCAAACGGGUGAGUAACACGUGGGUGACCUGCCUUCGAGUGGGGGAUAACGUCCCGAAAGGGACGCUAAUACCGCAUGACAUCCUGCUUUUGAAAAAGCGGAGAUCAAAGCUGGGGAUCGCAAGACCUAGCGCUUGAAGAGGGGCCCGCGCCUGAUUAGCUAGUUGGUGAGGUAACGGCUCACCAAGGCGACGAUCAGUAUCCGGCCUGAGGGGGCGGACGGACCCACUGGGACUGGGACACGGCCCAGACUCCUACGGGAGGCAGCAGUGGGGAAUUGUUCGCAAUGGGCGCAAGCCUGACGACGCAACGCCGCGUGGAGGACGAAGAUCUUCGGGUCGUAAACUCCUGUCGAGCGGGACGAACGCUUCGCGGAUGAAUAAUCCGCGGAAUUGACGGUACCGCUAAAGGAAGCCCCGGCUAACUCCGUG